GAUGAACGCUGGCGGCGUGCUUAACACAUGCAAGUCGAACGAAGCACUUAAGAUUGCUUCUUCGGAUGACGUCUUUUGUGACUUAGUGGCGGACGGGUGAGUAACGCGUGGGUAACCUGCCUCACACAGGGGGAUAACAGUUAGAAAUGACUGCUAAUACCGCAUAACCCGAUAGGAUCGCAUGAUCCAGACGGAAAAGAUUUAUCGGUGUGAGAUGGACCCGCGUCUGAUUAGCUAGUUGGUGAGGUAACGGCCCACCAAGGCGACGAUCAGUAGCCGGCCUGAGAGGGUGAACGGCCACAUUGGGACUGAGACACGGCCCAAACUCCUACGGGAGGCAGCAGUGGGGAAUAUUGCACAAUGGGGGAAACCCUGAUGCAGCGACGCCGCGUGAGUGAAGAAGUAUUUCGGUAUGUAAAGCUCUAUCAGCAGGGAAGAAAAUGACGGUACCUGACCAAGAAGCCCCGGCUAACUACGUG
rnacentral:rRNA from 1 species